UGAUCUGUUGGGGAUUUGCUGCCUGGAUA
rnacentral:piRNA from 1 species